rnacentral:rRNA from 1 species
AGUGAACGCUGGCGAUAGGCCUAACACAUGCAAGUCGAACGGCAGCACAGUAAGAGCUUGCUCUUACGGGUGGCGAGUGACGGACGGGUGAGGAAUACAUCGGAAUCUACUUUUUCGUGGGGGAUAACGUAGGGAAACUUACGCUAAUACCGCAUACGACCUACGGGUGAAAGCAGGGGAUCUUCGGACCUUGCGCGAUUGAAUGAGCCGAUGUCGGAUUAGCUAGUUGGCGGGGUAAAGGCCCACCAAGGCGACGAUCCGUAGCUGGUCUGAGAGGAUGAUCAGCCACACUGGAACUGAGACACGGUCCAGACUCCUACGGGAGGCAGCAGUGGGGAAUAUUGGACAAUGGGCGCAAGCCUGAUCCAGCCAUACCGCGUGGGUGAAGAAGGCCUUCGGGUUGUAAAGCCCUUUUGUUGGGAAAGAAAAGCAGCAGGUUAAUACCCCGCUGUUCUGACGGUACCCAAAGAAUAAGCACCGGCUAACUUCGUG